rnacentral:rRNA from 1 species
AUUGAACGCUGGCGGCAGGCCUAACACAUGCAAGUCGAGCGGAUGAAGGGAGCUUGCUCCUGGAUUCAGCGGCGGACGGGUGAGUAAUGCCUAGGAAUCUGCCUGGUAGUGGGGGAUAACGUCCGGAAACGGGCGCUAAUACCGCAUACGUCCUGAGGGAGAAAGUGGGGGAUCUUCGGACCUCACGCUAUCAGAUGAGCCUAGGUCGGAUUAGCUAGUUGGUGGGGUAAAGGCCUACCAAGGCGACGAUCCGUAACUGGUCUGAGAGGAUGAUCAGUCACACUGGAACUGGGACACGGUCCAGACUCCUACGGGAGGCAGCAGUGGGGAAUAUUGGACAAUGGGCGAAAGCCUGAUCCAGCCAUGCCGCGUGUGUGAAGAAGGUCUUCGGAUUGUAAAGCACUUUAAGUUGGGAGGAAGGGCAGUAAGUUAAUACCUUGCUGUUUUGACGUUACCAACAGAAUAGGCACCGGCUAACUUCGUG